rnacentral:lncRNA from 1 species
ACAAGAAGACAAGAAAAUGAUUUGAGGACAGCUUCAAUCGCGGUGUGAAGAAGAAAGCAACAAAACGACCACUGAAAACAAUGCCGGUGGCAAAACAUCCAAAGAAAGGGUCCCAAGUGGUACAUCGUCAUAGCUGGAAACAGUCAGAGCCACCAGCCAAUGAUCUUUUCAAUGCUGCGAAAGCUGCCAAAAGUGACAUGCAGUGUGGCCAUGAGGUCUGCCGGAAGUGACUUGUUGGUGUUAUCUCCUGAGUUAAAAUGUGAAGGGAUUUUUUUUUUUCAGAUUACUGAGAGUCUUCAGUUACUAGGCCCUCCAGGACCCUGUGUUUUGGCCCCAGGAAUUGAGGCCAUCUGAAUCAGCUGCCUGGGUUCCUGUCUGCAGUGGGCCCCAUGGGCCUACAGAAGAACAGAGGCUGCUCAGGGCUGGGCUGUUUGCUGCCCAGAACCAAGGCUAGGAUGAGGAGCUCAGACUCUUCCAGUGGAAGCAGUGCUAGGACGGAAGACAGCCGCCCCUGAAGAGGGGACAUUGACAUACAGUUGAUCUGCCUGGGAAGGUGUAAUAGAGAUGAACUUGUGUCAUCGCAUCUUUCACACAAGCCACAAAGAAAGCUAAUCCUGAUUCCUGGUGAGAAGAAACCAAACUCGAGGAAUGUUUUAUAUCACAGGACGGUCACAGCCUGUACUGGGGCACGAGCCAGGGCUGAGUAGAGUGCUGCCCCUGCACUCACUGACUUGAUCCUCUCAUUUACUCUGUGGAGCAGUCCCUGUUGGGAUCCUGCUGCUUUGGGAAAUUGCUCUGUUAAGCUUGCAGAGCUAUGAAAUUGUGGCCCUAUUUCAAACCCAUGAGGGCCUGAUUCUACAGACUGACCACUGGGCUCUUUUACUUCAGCAGGACUUGGGCUGGGGCUGCAGGGAUUUCACCAAGGAAUGUCAGGCAGGAGGUGGCCAUUGUGAAACCUGUCCCAUCUUGCCUGUACCUCCUGGCUGAAAGUGGGAUGCAGGACUUAGAUUGCCAAGCUUAGGAAUUAUUUGUGGCUCUGCUGUUCACAAUUUUGGAGAAUGUUAAGGAAUACUCAAGAAGUUGUGAGAGUAAGGGCCCUCACAUAUAUCAGAACAUGAAAGCAUUCCAGUUAGGACCUUGUGAUAUUGAAACUAGAAUAAGCAACCCAGUGGAUAGACUGUGAAAGAGAAUCCACAUAUAGACCUAUGUGUAAGAAUUUAUGAUCAAGGUGGCAUUUUGAAACAGUAGGGAAGGAGCCCAGCAGCAAAUGGUCUGGGGAAUCCUGGCCCUCCACCUGAGACGUUACACGGCUCUUUUUUUGAGACGGAGUUUUGCUCUUGUGCCCAGGCUGGAGUGCAAUGGUGGGAUCUCGGCUCACCACAACCUCCGCCCCUGGGUUUAAGCGGUUCUCCUGCCUCAGCCUCCCAAGUAGGUGGCAUUACAGGCAUGCGCCACCACACCCAGCUAAUUUUGUAUAUUUAGUAGAGAUGGGAUUUCUCCAUGUUGGUCAGGUUGGUCUCGAACUCCUGACCUCAAGUGAUCCACCUGCCUCGGCCUCCCAAAGUGCUGGGAUUACAGGCAUGAGCCACUGCACCCAGCUACACAGCCUUUUUUUUUUUCUUUUUUUGAGACAGAGUCUCGCUCUGUCACCCAGGCUGGAGUGCAGUGGCGCGAUCUCUGCUCACCGCAAGCUCCGCCUCCCGGGUUCACGCCAUUCUCCUGCCUCAGCCUCCUGAGUAGCUGGGACUACAGGCGCCCGCCACCACACCCAGCUAAUUUUUUUCGUAUUUUUAGUAGAGACAGGGUUUCAUCGUGUUAGCCAGGACAGUCUCGAUCUCCUAACCUCAUGAUCUGCCUGCCUCGGCCUCCCAAAGUGUUGGGAUUACAGGCAUGAGCCACCAUGCCCGGCCUACACAGCCUUUUUAACACCACCUCCAAAGUAAAGUUCUUCAUGGACUAGGAAGAAACUCUUUAUAGAGUUAUGCAUAAAAACAAAGCCAUAAAAAUAUUUUCAUAAUCUUAGCCUUCCUAAGGAAUACACAAACAGAAAUGAUAAUGUUAAAGAUCAAGCCUCAUGAGAAUUCAAACAGGGAGGGGAACAGAAGGAGCUGGCCAAAGGAGAACUUUGUGUUCUAUGUUGUUUGAAUCUUACACAAUGAGAAUUUAGGGGAUAAUG